rnacentral:rRNA from 1 species
UACAGAGGGUGCGAGCGUUAAUCGGAAUUACUGGGCGUAAAGAGCACGUAGGUGGUUUGCUAAGUCAGAUGUGAAAGCCCCGGGCUUAACCCUGGAAAGGCGGUGGAAACUGAAGCGCUAGAGUGCGGUAGGGGUAGAGGGAAUUCCCGGUGUAGCGGUGAAAUGCGUAGAGAUCGGGAAGAACAUCGGUGGCGAAAGCGCUCUACUGGACCGCAACUGACACUCAGGGACGAAAGCUAGGGGGGCGAAUGGG